rnacentral:rRNA from 1 species
CCUACGGGAGGCAGCAGUGGGGGAUAUUGCACAAUGGGGGAAACCCUGAUGCAGCGACGCCGCGUGUGGGAAGACGGUCCUCUGGAUUGUAAACCACUGUCGCCAGGGACGAAGAUGACGGAACCGGGGGAGGAAGCGCCGGCUCACUAGGUGCCAGCAGCGGCGGUAAUACGGAGGGAGCGAGCGUGGUCCGGAAUGACUGGGUGUAAAGGGAGCGGAGGCGGGACUGCAAGUUGGGUGUCAAAUCUACCGGCUCAACCGGUAGCCGCACUCCAAACUGCAGUUCUUGAGUGAAGUAGUGGCAGGCGGAAUUCCUCGUGUAGCGGUGACAUUCGUAGAUAUUAGGAGGAACACCAGUUGCGACGGCGGCCUGCUGGGCUUUUCCUGCCGCUGAGGCUCGACAGUGUGGGGAGCCAACAGGAUUAGAUACCCCAGUAGUC